AAUAAAGUGGCUGAUAAUAAGCAUUAGAUUGUAAAUCUAAUAAUAAGAAAUAUUCUUCUUUCUUG
rnacentral:tRNA from 1 species